ACAAAAGUAAAGAUUUUAGAGUUGCUAAUUUAUUGUCCCCAACACAAGGUGCACCUGUGUAAUAAUCAUGCUGUUUAAUCAGCUUGUUGAUAUGAUGACCUGACUAACUGACAACCAAUCACAAGGGACAUAUACACACUGGCAACAAAUCAUAAGUGACAUGUUAUUAUAAUAGUUAUUGUCACAUCUGCUCCUGCCACACCCCCUAGUGGACAUCCUGUGUCUCCUUGAUCUGCAGCCACUCCUCCAGUACACGCUCUCUACCUCUCCCUUUCUGUUUGUGUUGUUGGAGACAGGUGUGCUGGAGCCAGAGCGGAUCCUCACCAGCUGCAAUUCGUUCCAUUAUCAUGACCUCUACAAGUACUCAGUCCUGCCACUUCCACUCUGCCAGAUCGUGUUCUCCGUUCAUUUUGCUGCUCUGACUCUGGUUCCUGUCUCCUGUUCCACAUCUCACAACCCGGCUACCCUGUUCUGGAUUCAACUCAUCAUCACUCCCUUGGAUUCCCCUCCGGACCUAUUCACCCUGUCCCAACCCAGCUCACUCCAACCUCAGCCUCCACAUCUGGUUUCCUACAACUCAUCCAAGCUUCCCUGGAUCUGCACUUCAUCUCUCCCUGUGUUACAAUAAUUCAUCCCUGUUUCCUGAUCUGAGUCUGCUCUUGGGUUCCCCUGUGCUGCUCCGCUUAACAAGUUAUAACUGCAUGUUCCACCGACAGCCUCUGUUUUUAGAAAACAGCUGCAUGAUCAGGGCCUGAGUUUCCAAUCGCGAUGGAACUUAGGCUUACAGCCAAAGAUGUAACUUGCGUUUUCUAAAACACCACGCAGAGAGAGCAUUCGCUAAGUGAUUCAUUGGAACAUGUGUCGAUACUGAUAGGAUGUAAAGCAAAGCAGUGUCACUUUCUCCAUUCAAAUCUUACCUUGGCAUUAGAAUAACUGCACAAUAUUGAUGAGUGUUCAGCUCCUUGGAGAGAUAUACUGAACAAACAUAUAAACACAACAUGCAACAAUUUCAAAGAUUUUGUCGACUUACAGUUCAUAUAAAGAUAUAAGUAAAUUUAAAUAAAUUCAUUAGGCCCUAAUCUAUGUAUUUCACAUAACUGGGCAGGGGCGCAGCUAUGGGUGGGUCUGGGAGGGCAUAGGCCCACCCACUGGUGAGCCAGGCCCAGCCAAUCAGAAUGUGUUUUUCCCCACAAAAGUGCUUUAUUACAGACAGAAAUUCAUUAUGUAAUUAUAAACUCCUUAUGAAGGGUGCCUUAAUGUAAAGUUCAAUACAACCCAUUGAAGGCACUCUGCUUCCACGGUCUGCUUACCGUACCUAGAUGCAGAACCAAGACGGGGGGCGAAGCAUUCUCUAUUAAAGACCCUCAACUAGGGAACAGCUUGCCCUGUCAAGAAAGAGGGGCAGACACCAUUGAGGUUUUUAAAUCACGGUUUAAAUCUCACCUUUUUAAAAUCACAGUUAACAAUGUACCUUUUAGCUUGGCCUUCAACCAGUGACUGUUUUAGAUGUCCUCUGUGUUUUAUGUUCUUUUAUUCAUCCUUUUACUGCUUCCUGUUUGGUUCUACUUUUUUAAUUUGAUUGCUUUAAUGUAAAUUGUGUUGCAAUUUUAAAUGCACUUUAAAUUAAAGGGGCAGUGCAGUUAAAAGUGUGAUUAUGCCAGUUUCUUUUAUGAUAUUUCUCCAAUAUGAUGUCGAAAUAACACUCUGAAAUAGUGACAUUUUUGAUAAUGCCCUUU
ensembl:lncRNA